GGUGCCCCCUUUGGAAACCACUGGCAUGGCGUUUUCUGGUGAGAAGGCAGUCGCUGCUCAGUUGGCCCCGAGUUCCUGGGAGCUCCCAGCUGAGCUCGGCUGAGCACCCGGUCCAGAGCUGGAGGAAAAUCUCAUGCUGGUUUUGCAGUGGAAUUCUAAGCACUUCCACACUGGAGGGGACCGCUGAUGUUUCUGCCUGGCCAGUAGCUGUUAUCCGUUCUUCAGAAGCAGCCCCUCAGUUCUCCUUUGGGACCCCCGAACUCUCAAUCCCAGGCCUCCCUCUAGUCACAGGGCUUGGUUCAGGAACGGGGAGGUGGCCUAAGCCUGACCAGUGAGGCUCAAUCUUGCAAGCUUUGCUGGAAACAGUCACUUGCUUGGUGGGGUUUGCCAGACUGGUAGAGUCUAAGUUGAAAAUUCUAGGACCACCUUUGCUACCUGCUGGAGACCACUCCCUUGAGAACAGAGCCUACCUAGGGGAAAGCGGAGUGAGAGGCGGAG
rnacentral:lncRNA from 1 species